rnacentral:rRNA from 1 species
GAUGAACGCUAGCGAUAGGCCUAACACAUGCAAGUCGAGGGGCAGCAUAGAGUAGCAAUACUUUGAUGGCGACCGGCGCACGGGUGAGUAACACGUAUGCAACCUACCUACAUCAGGGGAAUAACCCGGAGAAAUUCGGACUAAUACCGCAUAAUACAGGGAUGCCGCAUGGCAAUAUUUGUUAAAGAUUUAUCGGAUGUAGAUGGGCAUGCGUUCCAUUAGCUAGUUGGUAAGGUAACGGCUUACCAAGGCAACGAUGGAUAGGGGAACUGGGAGGUUUGUCCCCCACGCUGGAACUGAGACACGGACCAGACUCCUACGGGAGGCAGCAGUGAGGAAUAUUGGUCAAUGGACGAGAGUCUGAACCAGCCAAAUCGCGUGAAGGAAGACUGCCCUACGGGUUGUAAACUUCUUUUGUACAGGAAUAAAAGACAUUACGUGUAAUGUAUUGCAUGUACUGUACGAAUAAGCAUCGGCUAACUCCGUGCCAGCAGCAGCCGCGG